rnacentral:rRNA from 1 species
AUUGAACGCUGGCGGCAUGCUUUACACAUGCAAGUCGAACGGUAACAGGCCGCAAGGUGCUGACGAGUGGCGAACGGGUGAGUAAUGCAUCGGAAUGUGCCCAGUCGUGGGGGAUAACUACUCGAAAGAGUAGCUAAUACCGCAUACGAUCUAUGGAUGAAAGCGGGGGACCGUAAGGCCUCGCGCGAUUGGAGCGGCCGAUGUCAGAUUAGGUAGUUGGUGGGGUAAAGGCUCACCAAGCCAACGAUCUGUAGCUGGUCUGAGAGGACAACCAGCCACACUGGGACUGAGACACGGCCCAGACUCCUACGGGAGGCAGCAGUGGGGAAUUUUGGACAAUGGGCGCAAGCCCGAUCCAGCAAUGCCGCGUGCAGGAAGAAGGCCUUCGGGUUGUAAACUGCUUUUGUACGGAACGAAACGGCUCUGGUUAAUACCCGGGGCUAAUGACGGUACCGUAAGAAUAAGCACCGGCUAACUACGUG